rnacentral:rRNA from 1 species
AUUGAACGCUGGCGGAAUGCUUUACACAUGUAAGUCGAACGGUAGAGGGGGCAACCCCUCGAGAGUGGCGAACGGGUGAGUAAUAUAUCGGAACGUGCCCAGUCGUGGGGGAUAACGUAGCGAAAGUUACGCUAAUACCGCAUACGAUCUAAGGAUGAAAGCGGGGGAUCGCAAGACCUCGCGCGAUUGGAGCGGCCGAUAUCAGAUUAGGUAGUUGGUGGGGUAAAGGCUCACCAAGCCAACGACCUGUAGCUGGUCUGAGAGGACGACCAGCCACACUGGAACUGAGACACGGUCCAGACUCCUACGGGAGGCAGCAGUGGGGAACUUUGGACAAUGGACGCAUGUCUGAUCCAGCCAUUCCGCGUGCAGGAUGAAGGCCCUCGGGUUGUAAACUGCUUUCGUACGGAACGAAAAGGUCUCUCUUAAUACGGGGGGCUCAUGACGGUACCGUAAGAAUAAGCACCGGCUAACUACGUGCCAGCCGCCGCGGUAA